rfam:Medicago truncatula strain A17 chromosome 3, whole genome shotgun sequence.
AAACCGCCCUCUAAGUAUUGACUUUUUUGCAGUUUUGGCCCCCACGGCAAAUUUUGACCAAGUCAUUGCACACCUGGACGCCACGUGUGUAUUUAUUUAUUUUUUAAAUUUUUUAAUAUAUAUUUUUCAAUUAAAAAAUAAAUACACAUGUGGCGUCCACGUCAGCUUUGACUUGGUCAAAAUUGGCCUGAGGAGCCAAAACUGCAAAAAAGUCAAUACUUAGGGGCGGUUU